rnacentral:rRNA from 1 species
GAUGAACGCUGGCGGCGUGCCUAAUACAUGCAAGUCGAGCGAACAGACGAGGAGUUUGCUCCUCUGACGUUAGCGGCGGACGGGUGAGUAACACGUGGAUAACCUACCUAUAAGACUGGGAUAACUUCGGGAAACCGGAGCUAAUACCGGAUAAUAUAUUGAACCGCAUGGUUCAAUAGUGAAAGACGGUUUUGCUGUCACUUAUAGAUGGAUCCGCGCCGCAUUAGCUAGUUGGUAAGGUAACGGCUUACCAAGGCGACGAUGCGUAGCCGACCUGAGAGGGUGAUCGGCCACACUGGAACUGAGACACGGUCCAGACUCCUACGGGAGGCAGCAGUAGGGAAUCUUCCGCAAUGGGCGAGAGCCUGACGGAGCAACGCCGCGUGAGUGAUGAAGGUCUUCGGAUCGUAAAACUCUGUUAUUAGGGAAGAACAAAUGUGUAAGUAACUAUGCACGUCUUGACGGUACCUAAUCAGAAAGCCACGGCUAACUACGUG